UCCGUUAUGGUCUAGUGGCUAGGAUUUGUCGCUCUCAGCACGAGUGAAAAGCUCUGCAAGCGCCGACAAGGCCGGGGUUCAAUUCCCCGUGACGGAA